UAAUUAAUUAUAUUACCUUUUUUCAGGCAUUUAUCAACAAACUUUAUUGGGACAAUGUAUGUCAGGAAACUCUCACUAGAAAUUGGGAAAGAAAAGUCUGUUAUCAGUUUGUUGCACACUGAAGAUUGGAAGGACAAGACAGCACCCAAGGACACAAGUUUUCUUAUUGACAUGGUUCAUCAGACUGUAGAGACUUGGACAGGAGAUGAACCGUUGUUAGUUCAUUGUUCAGCUGGAGUAGGAAGAACUGGUACGUUUAUAGCUGUCUACAAACUCUACA